rnacentral:tRNA from 1 species
GCGAAGGUGGCGGAAUUGGUAGACGCACUAGACUUAGGAUCUAGUUCCCGUAGGGAGUGAGGGUUCAAGUCCCUUCUUUCGCACCA